rnacentral:tRNA from 1 species
AAGGAUUUAAGUUAAGCAAAACUGUCAACCUUCAAAGUUGCAAAUAGAGGCUCUCUAAGCCUUA